GCCCGCAUGGGAUAAUCGAUUAUCCCGUGCGGGCGUCUUAAGUGGACCGCACGCGAUAAUGCACGAUUAUCACGUGCGAGC
rnacentral:pre_miRNA from 14 species